rnacentral:rRNA from 1 species
AGAGUUUGAUCCUGGCUCAGGACGAACGCUGGCGGCGUGCCUAACACAUGCAAGUCGAACGGGGUAUUUCUUCGGAGAUACUUAGUGGCGAACGGGUGAGUAACGCGUGAGAAACCUGCCUUUCAGUGGGGGACAACAGUUGGAAACGACUGCUAAUACCGCAUGAUGUUAUUUGGGGGCAUCCCUGAAUAACCAAAGAUUUAUUGCUGAAAGAUGGUCUCGCGUCUGAUUAGCUAGAUGGCGGGGUAACGGCCCACCAUGGCGACGAUCAGUAGCCGGUCUGAGAGGAUGAACGGCCACAUUGGGACUGAGAUACGGCCCAGACUCCUACGGGAGGCAGCAGUGGGGAAUAUUGGGCAAUGGGGGAAACCCUGACCCAGCAACGCCGCGUGAAGGAAGAAGGCCUUCGGGUUGUAAACUUCUUUUACCAGGGACGAACACAAUGACGGUACCUGGAGAAAAAGCAACGGCUAACUACGUGCCAGCAGCCGCGGUAAUACGUAGGUUGCAAGCGUUGUCCGGAUUUACUGGGUGUAAAGGGCGUGUAGGCGGAGAUGCAAGUUGGGAGUGAAAUCCCGGGGCUCAACCCCGGAACUGCUUUCAAAACUGCAUCCCUUGAGUAUCGGAGAGGCAAGCGGAAUUCCUAGUGUAGCGGUGAAAUGCGUAGAUAUUAGGAGGAACACCAGUGGCGAAGGCGGCUUGCUGGACGACAACUGACGCUGAGGCGCGAAAGCGUGGGGAGCAAACAGGAUUAGAUACCCUGGUAGUCC